GCAGUCGAACGAGAAAGGGACUGCUUGCAGUCCUGAGUAGAGUGGCGCACGGGUGAGUAACACGUGGAUAAUCUACCCUCAAGCCCGGGAUAACCGUUCGAAAGGACGGCUAAUACCGGAUGCAGUUCAUUUACAGAAGUGGAUGGAUGAAAGACUGCCUCUUCAUGAAAGCAGUUGUUUGGGGAUGAGUUUGCGUACCAUUAGCUUGUUGGUGGGGUAAGGGCCUACCAAGGCUGUGAUGGUUAGCUGGUCUGAGAGGAUGAUCAGUCACACUGGAACUGGAACACGGUCCAGACUCCUACGGGAGGCAGCAGUGAGGAAUUUUGCGCAAUGGGGGAAACCCUGACGCAGCAACGCCGCGUGAGUGAAGAAGGCCCUUGGGUCGUAAAGCUCUGUCAACCGGGAAGAAGUUAGAAUUUAUUAAUAGUGGAUUCUAUUGACGGUACCGGUGGAGGAAGCGCCGGCUAACUCCGUGCCAGCAGCCGCGGUAACACGGGGGGCGCAAGCGUUAUUCGGAAUUAUUGGGCGUAAAGGGCGCGUAGGCGGUUCUGUCGGUCAGAUGUGAAAUCCCGGGGCUCAACCCUGGAAGUGCAUUUGAAACAGCAGAACUUGAGUACGGGAGAGGAAAGCGGAAUUCCUGGUGUAGAGGUGAAAUUCGUAGAUAUCAGGAGGAACACCGAUGGCGAAGGCAGCUUUCUGGACCGAUACUGACGCUGAGGCGCGAAGGCGUGGGUAGCGAACGGGAUUAGAUACCCCGGUAGUCCACGCAGUAAACGAUGU
rnacentral:rRNA from 1 species